GAUGAACGCUGGCGGCGUGCUUAACACAUGCAAGUCGAACGAUUAAAGCCCCUUCGGGGGUGUAUAAAGUGGCGAACGGGUGAGUAACACGUGGGCAAUCUGCCCCUCACUUCGGGAUAACUCAGGGAAACUUGAGCUAAUACCGGAUACUCCGAACUGAUCGCAUGGUCGGUUCGGGAAAGCUCCGACGGUGAGGGAUGAGCCCGCGGCCCAUUAGCUUGUUGGUAGGGUAACGGCCUACCAAGGCGACGAUGGGUAGCCGAGCUGAGAGGCUGGUCGGCAACACGGGGACUGAGACACGGCCCAGACUCCAACGGGGGGCAGUAGUGGGGAAUUUUGCGCAAUGGGCGAAAGCCUGACGCAGCAACGCCGCGUGCGGGAUGAAGGCUCUCGGGUCGUAAACCGCUUUCAGCAGGGAUGAAAUUGACAGUACCUGCAGAAGAAGCCCCGGCUAAAUACGUGCCAGCAGCCGCCGUAACAC
rnacentral:rRNA from 1 species